UGGGGAAUAUUGGACAAUGGGCGAAAGCCUGAUCCAGCCAUGCCGCGUGAGUGAUGAAGGCCUUAGGGUUGUAAAGCUCUUUUACCCGGGAUGAUAAUGACAGUACCGGGAGAAUAAGCCCCGGCUAACUCCGUG
rnacentral:rRNA from 1 species